UUUAGCAUAUGCCCCUUUCUUGGUCCCCACUUUCUUCUCCACCUCUUCAUUCCACCAUCAAUCCCCCCGAUGAUGCCCGGCCCGGCCCCUAGAAACACCCAACACCUCACUUUCAUUCUCCUUGAUGCACCUAGCCGCCCUAUCCCACAUACUAUCUACGUCCCCCCUACACUCCCGCACCCCCAUUCCCGCCAACUUCUCCCCUAUCUCCCAUGCAUUCACUGGCGUCAAGCCGCCCUACUUAAUUCAAGGUCUAUACUCCUUACUCCUCCUCUUUCUAUUCUUCUUUAUACCCAAAUCCAUAACCAAGAGCCUAUGCUGGGUCGAAAGAUUCUCA
rnacentral:lncRNA from 1 species